rnacentral:rRNA from 1 species
GCAGUCGAGCGGUAAGGCCUUUCGGGGUACACGAGCGGCGAACGGGUGAGUAACACGUGGGUGAUCUGCCCUGCACUUCGGGAUAAGCCUGGGAAACUGGGUCUAAUACCGGAUAUGACCUCAGGUUGCAUGACUUGGGGUGGAAAGAUUUAUCGGUGCAGGAUGGGCCCGCGGCCUAUCAGCUUGUUGGUGGGGUAAUGGCCUACCAAGGCGACGACGGGUAGCCGACCUGAGAGGGUGACCGGCCACACUGGGACUGAGACACGGCCCAGACUCCUACGGGAGGCAGCAGUGGGGAAUAUUGCACAAUGGGCGAAAGCCUGAUGCAGCGACGCCGCGUGAGGGACGACGGCCUUCGGGUUGUAAACCUCUUUCAGCAGGGACGAAGCGCAAGUGACGGUACCUGCAGAAGAAGCACCGGCUAACUACGUGCCAGCAGCCGCGGUAAUACGUAGGGUGCAAGCGUUGUCCGGAAUUACUGGGCGUAAAGAGUUCGUAGGCGGUUUGUCACGUCGUUUGUGAAAACUCACAGCUCAACUGUGAGCCUGCAGGCGAUACGGGCAGACUUGAGUACUGCAGGGGAGACUGGAAUUCCUGGUGUAGCGGUGAAAUGCGCAGAUAUCAGGAGGAACACCGGUGGCGAAGGCGGGUCUCUGGGCAGUAACUGACGCUGAGGAACGAAAGCGUGGGUAGCGAACAGGAUUAGAUACCCUGGUAG